rnacentral:lncRNA from 1 species
ACUAACUGUUGCAAGGGUUCUUAAAGUGUAUGGGGUCACUGGACUUGCAUUCUUGCUACAUAUUAAAUAGAAAAUUCACACCAACUUCUAACAUAAAAAUUAUUUUAUCUGAGGUAUCUCCCCUACUAUCUUAGUUAUCACGCCUUACCGAACUCCCAAACAGUGGCUACCUUCUCUUUACUACGCAGCGUUGACAUGAAUGUUGCUUGCAAUGCAACUUCCAAGCAAGGACUGAAGCUCAUAAACUCGAAAAUCAGUUGAACGCAAGACCUCGAGAUAGUUCGGAGAGCCAACAACCUUGCUUCGAAUGUUGGUUGCAAUGAUGAUAAUUUGGUGAAGCAACGUCACCACUGUUUCUGAGUUUGUAAUUCUUAAAACUUCUCUAAGUUAUCUCCUUUACUGUCAUAGUUAUCUUUCUUUAUGUGGCAAAGUAAAAAAAAGUAAGAAACAAAAUAUGAUUAAACACUUAAUUUUCGGUAUAAAAAUGAAAUUCUUAUACAUGAAUUACAUGCCACUCUAAAAGAAAUUGCACAUUUAAUUUAAAAGGUCUAGAACCAAUUGUUACCUGCUACUUCAAAAUCAAAAAUGGGAGACACUCCAACAAUUUGAACCAAUUCAAUUCAUGCCACGUCUUAUACAUUACAACUUAAAUGACGUGUUGGGUCAGCUCCUCUUUACUCUCUAUUUACGAUGUUGGUUUAAUGAUACAUGGAUCAACUACUUUAAAACUACUUUCGAUGGCAGAAACCUAUCCAACGCUAGACAGUACGUCCUUGUUGUUUUAAGUAAAUACCCGCGUAAACAUGUACACCGAUACACCCAUUUAUUUGGGGAAUGUAUGCAGACUGACGUCCGAGAGUUUGUAUCGUAGAUGUUGGAUAAUAGACCGCCAUUUCACAGUUUACUUACGACUUUGGUCCUGAUAAUGCUUCUUGUCUUCGUUAACAAACUUACGACUAAGCUUGGUCGUAAGUUCAAGACUUGUGAUCAAUCUUACUCGUAGGUUUAUUGGUGAAACCGACUUCUGGUUACAAGUUUUAAUCUUGAAAGUAUUUGGAAUAAAACAUUUGAUUUUUUUUAAUUUGAAAACUAAUGUAACGUUUCUUAUUUUGCCAAGAAGUUAUUGAAAAUAUCUAACAUGUUUUGAUUGUAGCGUUUACGAAAUUAAUCUUGAUAUGGUAGACCAGUAGUAUUGAAAUCAAUAUUUAUAACCUUUUGGAUAUUUUUUAGUAAACUAUUAAGAUAUAUCUUAAUAUACUGUUUAAUAUACUUUAGAAAUAAACAUUUCAAGAAUUCUUUUGUUUUUAUUUUU